GAUGAAGAACGUAGCGAAAUGCGAUACGUAAUGUGAAUUGCAGAAUUCAGUGAAUCAUCGAGUCUUUGAACGCACAUUGCGCCCCCUGGUAUUCCGGGGGCAUGCCUGUCCGAGCGUCAUUGCUGCCCUCAAGCACGGCUUGUGUGUUGGGCCUCCGUCCUCCUCCCGGGGGACGGGCCCGAAAGGCAGCGGCGGCACCGCGUCCGGUCCUCGAGCGUAUGGGGCUUCGUCACCCGCUCUUGUAGGCCCGGCCGGCGCUUGCCGACACAUCAAUCUUUUUUCCAGGUUGACCUCGGAUCAGGUAGGGAUACCCGCUGAACUUAAGCAUAUCAAUAAGCGGAGA
rnacentral:misc_RNA from 1 species